rnacentral:lncRNA from 1 species
GCCAGCUCCCUGCGUAGAAGCACUAUGUGAGAAAAAAAAAAUUCCUUGCCUGCUGGUAAGGGCGUGCCUGCAGCGACAAAAAACACCUCCUGUCCUUUUCCAGGGUGCGUGUCUCUCAGUUGGGCAGUUUCCUCACAGUCCAAGCUUGUUCCAGACACUCCUUUUUUUCUUUCUGGCCAGCGUGAUACCAGCUUUGUGAGCCAAGGGGCAAAGAUUGUCCCUUGAAUUCAGACUGUCUGGAGUCCACAGAUCUACCACUGUACAAAGGAGCAACUGAGGAUCACCCAUCCAGUUUUACACGGUGAACAG